GUAGCACCUAAACCCAAGAAUCGCUGUUUCUUAUAGCAGUGGUUUAAACAGAGGUGCCAACAGCACUUUUGGGGGCGGUUGUCAUGCCCCUCCAAGUGAAUUUGGAGGUCA
ensembl:snoRNA